CAGUAGCCGCGGUAAUACGAGGGAUCCUAGCGUUGUUCGGAAUCAUUGGGCGUAAAGGGUGUGUAGGCGGCCUUGUAAGUCAGUUGUGAAAGCCCCGGGCUCAACCCGGGAAGUGCUUCUGAUACUGCUUGGCUUGAGUAUUGGAUAGGUGAGUGGAAUUCCAGGUGUAGUGGUGAAAUACGUAGAUAUCUGGAGGAACACCGGCGGCGAAGGCGGCUCACUGGCCAUAUACUGACGCUGAAACACGAAAGCGUGGGUAGCAAACAGGAUUAGAUACCCGAGUAGUCCCUGUCUCUUAUAC
rnacentral:rRNA from 1 species